GGGUAGAUCUCCCACCCUUGAAUAUUUAUACCUUAGUUGCUUUGGCAGGCCGUGGAAACACCAUGGGCUCCGGCUUAUGCGUGCCUGCCAGAGGAAACAAACUCUGUUUUUAGUGAUGUCUGAGUACUAUAUAAUAGUUAAAACUUUCAACAACGGAUCUCUUGGUUCUGGCAUCGAUGAAGAACGCAGCGAAAUGCGAUAAGUAAUGUGAAUUGCAGAAUUCAGUGAAUCAUCGAAUCUUUGAACGCACAUUGCGCCCCUUGGUAUUCCGAGGGGCAUGCCUGUUCGAGCGUCAUUAUAACCACUCAAGCCUAGCUUGGUAUUGGGGUUCGCGUGCUCGCGGCCCUUAAAAUCAGUGGCGGUGCCGUCUGGCUCUAAGCGUAGUAAUUCUCUCGCUAUAGAGUCCCGGCGGCUACCUGCCAGAACCCCCCCUCUUUUAAGGUUGACCUCGGAUCAGGUAGGGAUACCCGCUGAACUUAAGCAUAU
rnacentral:rRNA from 1 species